rnacentral:rRNA from 1 species
GACGAACGCUGGCGGCGUGCCUAAUACAUGCAAGUCGAGCGGACCGACGGGAGCUUGCUCCCUUAGGUCAGCGGCGGACGGGUGAGUAACACGUGGGUAACCUGCCUGUAAGACUGGGAUAACUCCGGGAAACCGGGGCUAAUACCGGAUGCUUGAUUGAACCGCAUGGUUCAAUCAUAAAAGGUGGCUUUUAGCUACCACUUGCAGAUGGACCCGCGGCGCAUUAGCUAGUUGGUGAGGUAACGGCUCACCAAGGCGACGAUGCGUAGCCGACCUGAGAGGGUGAUCGGCCACACUGGGACUGAGACACGGCCCAGACUCCUACGGGAGGCAGCAGUAGGGAAUCUUCCGCAAUGGACGAAAGUCUGACGGAGCAACGCCGCGUGAGUGAUGAAGGUUUUCGGAUCGUAAAACUCUGUUGUUAGGGAAGAACAAGUACCGUUCGAAUAGGGCGGUACCUUGACGGUACCUAACCAGAAAGCCACGGCUAACUACGUGCCAGCAGCCGCGGUAAUACGUAGGUGGCAAGCGUUGUCCGGAAUUAUUGGGCGUAAAGCGCGCGCAGGCGGUUUCUUAAGUCUGAUGUGAAAGCCCCCGGCUCAACCGGGGAGGGUCAUUGGAAACUGGGGAACUUGAGUGCAGAAGAGGAGAGUGGAAUUCCACGUGUAGCGGUGAAAUGCGUAGAGAUGUGGAGGAACACCAGUGGCGAAGGCGACUCUCUGGUCUGUAACUGACGCUGAGGCGCGAAAGCGUGGGGAGCGAACAGGAUUAGAUACCCUGGUAGUCCACGCCGUAAACGAUGAGUGCUAAGUGUUAGAGGGUUUCCGCCCUUUAGUGCUGCAGCAAACGCAUUAAGCACUCCGCCUGGGGAGUACGGUCGCAAGA